CAGCACCUCAAGUGGUCAGGAUGAUUAUUGGGCCUAAAGCAUCCGUAGCCUGCUUUGUAAGUUUUCGGUUAAAUCUGUACGCUUAACGUACAGGCUGCCGGGAAUACUGCAGAGCUAGGGAGUGGGAGAGGUAGACGGUACUCGGUAGGAAGGGGUAAAAUCCUUUGAUCUAUUGAUGACCACCUGUGGCGAAGGCGGUCUACCAGAACACGUCCGACGGUGAGGGAUGAAAGCUGGGGGAGCAAAACGGAUUAGAUACCCGAGUAGUCC
rnacentral:rRNA from 1 species